AAGAGACGUCGCCCUUCGGGGUAUACCUCCCACCCUUUGUUUAUUAUACCUUUGUUGGCUUUGGCGGGCCCGUCCUCGGACACCACGGCUUCUGCUGGUCAGUGCCCGCCAGAGGACCUAAAACUCUGUUUGUUAAUAUUGUCUGAGUACUAUAUAAUAGUUA
rnacentral:misc_RNA from 1 species